AUCAUUACCGAGUUUACAACUCCCAAACCCCUGUGAACAUACCAAUUGUUGCCUCGGCGGAUCAGCCCGCUCCCGGUAAAACGGGACGGCCCGCCAGAGGACCCCUAAACUCUGUCUCUAUAUGUAACUUUUGAGUAAAACCAUAAAUAAAUCAAAACUUUCAACAACGGAUCUCUUGGUUCUGGCAUCGAUGAAGAACGCAGCAAAAUGCGAUAAGUAAUGUGAAUUGCAGAAUUCAGUGAAUCAUCGAAUCUUUGAACGCACAUUGCGCCCGCCAGUAUUCUGGCGGGCAUGCCUGUUCGAGCGUCAUUUCAACCCUCAAGCCCUCGGGUUUGGUGUUGGGGAUCGGCGAGCCCUUGCGGCAAGCCGGCCCCGAAAUCUAGUGGCGGUCUCGCUGCAGCUUCCAUUGCGUAGUAGUAAAACCCUCGCAACCGGUACGCGGCGCGGGCAAGCCGUUAACGCCCCAAAUUCAAAUCUUCUGAAGUUGACCUCGAAUCAGGUAGGA
rnacentral:rRNA from 1 species